UUUUUUUAUGGUUAUUGUUGUUAAUCUCUUACCGUGCCUCAUUUACAAAUUAAGUUUUAUCACAGGUAUGCAUAGGAAAAAACAUAGUGUAUAGUAUAAAGUUUAGUAUUAAUUAUGGUUUCAGAAAUCCACCAGAGGUCUUGGAACAUAUCCUCCAUGAAUAAGGAAAAACUACUGUAAGCAAAGCAAAAACUAGUAUUUUACCCGCAGAAACUUCUAUUUGGGAUAUUAAAUUUCCCAAUAAUACUGGUGAGCUAUUUUGUGCAGUAACAUUUGGAAGUCUUAAUUUUUGUUUCCAAUGGAUGGGUUUACUUUCUCUUUUAUUUUAAUCAUAUAUUGUGAUACGAAUUUCAUCAUUAGAAAUUCUUGGUCUCCGAGCAUGUGGGUGGGGCUCUGUGGUUGAGUGUUUGUCUGCCUUUGCCUCAGGCUAUGAUCCCAAGGUCCAGGAUCUAGUCCCACAUCAGGUUCCCCACAGGGAGCCUGCUUUUCCCUCUGCCUAUGUCUCUGUCUUUCUUUCUGUGUUUCUCAUGAGUAAAUAAAUAAAAUCUUAAAAAGAGAGAAAGAAAGAACCUCUUGGUCUCACUUCUUAUUUAAAAAUUUGUAAAAUGUAGAAAAUUAAUUUUCAACUAAUUUAAUUGCAAUUUAUGCUGAUUUCUUUUUUUUUAAGAUUUUAUUUAUUUAUUCAUGAGAAACAUGAGAGAGAGAGAGAGAGAGAGAGGCAGAGACACAGGCAGAGGGACAAGCAGGCUCCAUGCAGGGAGCCCGACGACAUGGGACUUGAUCCCAGGUCUCCAAGAUCACGCCCUGGGCUGAAGGCGGCACUAAACUGCUGAGCCACCUGGGCUGCCCUAUGUGGAUUUCUUUACCAGGGUAAAUUAACUUCCUUUUCUUCUUAAAUUGCUGUGUAAUGAUGAUCUUUUAGUGUCUAUUCCUUGAUUUGUGUGUCUCCUUACGCUCUUCAAAAAUAAAACUUCCAUACAUCACAGUGCUGCCAAAUCAGGCCCUCACCUAAUUUCAAAAUAGUAAUACAAAAAAAAAACACCAUUGGAAAUAUGAAUAGUCCUUUUCUACUGAGAAAUCUGGUAAGAUACUUUGUGAAACUCUCAUAUUACAUGGCUUUUGUAGUGUAUGAUGUAGGCCUGUUUUUGAAUGUGAUAUAAAAUCAAUCAUGUGGCCUUGAAAAAAAUUAAAAGAAGAAUUACACAUUUCUGCAGCUUAUUACUGUCAGAAAAAAAAGAUAAGAGUUAUCAUAUAGUUUAAAUUGAGUCAACAAACCUAUGGCUCAUGGGUCAAGUUCACCUACUAUCUGUUUUUGUAGGGCUCAUGAGCUAAAAAUGGAUUGUUGAAUAGUUGUGACAGAGACUGCAUAGUCCAUGAAGUCAAAAAUAUUUGCUACCUAGUCCUUACAGAAAUGAUUUUGUUGGGACAACUGGGUGGCUCAGUGGUUUGCCACAUGCCUUUGCCCCAGGUUGUGAUCCUGGGGUCCCGGGAUCGAGCCCCACAUUGGGCUUCCUGCAUGGAGCCUGCUUCUCCCUCCACGUAUGUCUCUACUUCUCUCUGUGUGUGUGUCUCUCAUGAAUAAAUAAAUUAAAAAAGAAAAAAGAUUUUGUUGAUCCCUAAGUUAAAUAAAUACUAUGACAUAUCAGUGGUUUUUUGGUAAAAAUAUAAUUCAGUAACAUAUUUUAGGAUGUGAAGUUUAAUAUACCUAUGUUUAGAAACAUAUUUACUCCUAUAUUUUUAAAAAAUGGUUCUUUCAAUCUGAAAAAAUAACCCUACUUUGCAACAUUUCAUGUGCAUUUUUCUUUUUAAUCUAGUUAACCACGUUUAUUUUCCUAGUUAUCUGUCAAAUUUUCAAUUAACAUUAUUGUCAAAUUAACUAUGACAAAAUAUUUUUAGAAACUUGUGCCAGGGAUGAUGUUAUAGUAUAUUGAGAACAGUAUUCACCAACUCAAAUUGACCAUUUAAGUAACCAGCAAUCAACCAUAACAAAACCAAUGUUUAAGUUACUUAUACAUAAAUUUGUGUCUGAGAAAUGUAAAGUAAAUAUAAUGUUAAAUAUUUAUUGGUAAUUUGUUUUAUUUUUCCAAAGCAUAAAAAUAAACACUAGAAAAUGCUCCCUUGAACCUUUCUUUGAAUCUAGCUUGUUACUUUAUAGUAAAGUAAGAUAUCAGAGCAGUCUAAUUCAUAAUAUUGGCUUGGAAAAUGAGAAGAUUCUAUAUUUAUAAGAAUGGAUUUGGCCUACAAUAAGGGGUUGUUAGGAGUAUUUUUAGACAAGAAACAUAUUUUCAACUAUGUACUACCAUAAAGGUGUAUAAUGAGCUGUGAAAACUAUAGUCAUAUUUGCAAAGAUUCAAACCAAAUGGGGAUGUCACAAUUAACAUGAAAAUGGUGGAGAGAUAGGAAGAAUAAUCUAGGCUGUCUCAACCCACCCUCUUUUUCUCCCCCAAAUUCCUUUAUCUGAAAAAGAAAAGUCAUCUAGGAUAUUUUAUACAAAUGUUUCCUACUUUGCUAACAUAGAAAUAACCACGAAGGGGCUUUGAUGUAAUUAAUUAGAUAGAUUUUUAUAUGGAUUUUUGAUGUGCAUUGAGUCCAGAUCGAACUUCAGUCAUUUGUGUGGUUCAAUAGAAUCAUGCAGUACUUAACACUUGAAAAAUGAAGUGGCUCAUUCACUGGACAUAUAGACAAAAAGGAAAAAAAAAAAAAAAAAA
rnacentral:lncRNA from 1 species